AGUGAACGCUGGCGGUAGGCCUAACACAUGCAAGUCGAACGGCAGCACAGUAAGAGCUUGCUCUUACGGGUGGCGAGUGGCGGACGGGUGAGGAAUACAUCGGAAUCUACUUUUUCGUGGGGGAUAACGUAGGGAAACUUACGCUAAUACAGCAUACGACCUACGGGUGAAAGCAGGGGAUCUUCGGACCUUGCGCGAUUGAAUGAGCCGAUGUCGGAUUAGCUAGUUGGCGGGGUAAAGGCCCACCAAGGCGACGAUCCGUAGCUGGUCUGAGAGGAAGGUCAGCCACACUGGAUCAGAGACACGGUCCAGACACCUACGGGAGGCAGCAGUGGGGAAUAUUGGACAAUGGGGGAGAGCCUGAUCCAGCCAUACCGCGUGGGUGAAGAAGGACUUCGGGUUGUAAAGCCCUUUUGUUGGGAAAGAAAAGCAGCAGGUUAAUACCCCGCUGUUCUGACGGUACCCAAAGAAUAAGCACCCGCUAACUUCGUG
rnacentral:rRNA from 1 species